UCGAGAAUUUUUCUCAAUGGGGGAAACCCUGAAGGAGCGACGCCGCGUGGAGGAUGAAGGUCUUCGGAUUGUAAACUCCUGUCAUGAGGGAACAAACUUGCACGAGUAACUACUGUGCAACUGAUAGUACCUCAAGAGGAAGAGACGGCUAACUCUGUGCCAGCAGCCGCGGUAAUACAGAGGUCUCAAGCGUUGUUCGGAUUCAUUGGGCGUAAAGGGUGCGUAGGCGGCGAGGCAAGUCAGGUGUGAAAUCCCGGGGCUCAACCCCGGAACUGCACUUGAUACUGCUUUGCUUGAGGACUGGAGAGGAGAUCGGAAUUCACGGUGUAGCAGUGAAAUGCGUAGAUAUCGUGAGGAAGGCCAGUGGCGAAGGCGGAUCUCUGGACAGUUCCUGACGCUGAGGCACGAAGGCCAGGGGAGCAAACGGGAUUAGAUACCCCUGUAGUCC
rnacentral:rRNA from 1 species